rnacentral:rRNA from 1 species
GGAGGGUGCAAGCGUUGUCCGGAUUUAUUGGGUUUAAAGGGUGCGUAGGCGGCCUAUUAAGUCAGUGGUGAAAGGUAUCAGCUUAACUGAUGACGUGCCAUUGAAACUGAUGGGCUUGAGUACAGACGAGGUAGGCGGAAUUUAUGGUGUAGCGGUGAAAUGCAUAGAUACCAUAAAGAACACCGAUAGCGAAGGCAGCUUACUAGGCUGAGACUGACGCUGAGGCACGAAAGCGUGGGGGGGAGCGAACAGGAUUAGAUACCCUGGUAGUCCACGCUGUAAACGAUGAUUACUGGAUGUGUGCGAUACACAGUACGCGUCUGAGCGAAAGCGUUAAGUAAUCCACCUGGGGAGUACGAUCGCAAGAUUG